UAGGGAAUCUUCGGCAAUGGACGAAAGUCUGACCGAGCAACGCCGCGUGAGUGAAGAAGGGUUUCGGAUCGUAAAACUCUGUUGUUAGAGAAGAACAAGGACGUUAGUAACUGAACGUCCCCUGACGGUAUCUAACCAGAAAGCCACGGCUAACUACGUGCCAGCAGCCGCGGUAAUACGUAGGUGGCAAGCGUUGUCCGGAUUUAUUGGGCGUAAAGCGAGCGCAGGCGGUUUCUUAAGUCUGAUGUGAAAGCCCCCGGCUCAACCGGGGAGGGUCAUUGGAAACUGGGGGACUUGAGUGCAGAAGAGGAGAGUGGAAUUCCAUGUGUAGCGGUGAAAUGCGUAGAUAUAUGGAGGAACACCAGUGGCGAAGGCGGCUCUCUGGUCUGUAACUGACGCUGAGGCUCGAAAGCGUGGGGAGCAAACAGG
rnacentral:rRNA from 1 species